AACGUAGGAGGCAAGCGUUAUCCGGAGUCACUGGGCGUAAAGGGCGGGUAGGUGGUUGUGUAAGUUGGUUAUGAAAGCUCCUGGCUAAACUGGGAGAGGUUGACCAAGACUGCAGAACUUGAGUGGAGAAGAGGUAAACGGAAUUCCGCGUGUAGUGGUGAAAUGCGUAGAGAUGCGGAAGAACACCAGUGGCGAAGGCGGUUUACUGGUCUCCAACUGACACUGAGCCGCGAAAGCAUGGGUAGCGAACGGG
rnacentral:rRNA from 1 species